rnacentral:rRNA from 1 species
AUAGCCUUUCGAAAGGAAGAUUAAUACUCCAUAAUAUAUUGAAUGGCAUCAUUUAAUAUUGAAAACUCCGGUGGAUAGAGAUGGGCACGCGCAAGAUUAGAUAGUUGGUGAGGUAACGGCUCACCAAGUCAUUGAUCUUUAGGGGUCCUGAGAGGGAGAUCCCCCACACUGGUACUGAGACACGGACCAGACUCCUACGGGAGGCAGCAGUGAGGAAUAUUGGACAAUGGGUGAAAGCCUGAUCCAGCCAUCCCGCGUGAAGGAUGACGGUCCUACGGAUUGUAAACUUCUUUUGUAUAGGGAUAAACCCAGAUACGUGUAUCUGGCUGAAGGUACUAUACGAAUAAGCACCGGCUAACUCCGUGCCAGCAGCCGCGGUAAUACGGAGGGUGCAAGCGUUAUCCGGAUUUAUUGGGUUUAAAGGGUCCGCAGGCGGGCCGAUAAGUCAGUGGUGAAAUCUCAUAGCUUAACUAUGAAACUGCCAUUGAUACUGUCGGUCUUGAGUAAAUUAGAGGUAGCUGGAAUAAGUAGUGUAGCGGUGAAAUGCAUAGAUAUUACUUAGAACACCAAUUGCGAAGGCAGGUUACCAUGAUUUAACUGACGCUGAGGGACGAAAGCGUGGGGAGCGAACAGGAUUAGAUACCCUGGUAGUCCACGCCGUAAACGAUGCUAACUCGUUUUUGGGGCGCAAGCUUCAGAGACCAAGCGAAAGUGAUAAGUUAGCCACCUGGGGAGUACGUUCGCAAGAAUGAAACUCAAAGGAAUUGACGGGGGCCCGCACAAGCGGUGGAUUAUGUGGUUUAAUUCGAUGAUACGCGAGGAACCUUACCAAGACUUAAAUGGGAAAUGACAGGUUUAGAAAUAGAUCCUUCUUCGGACAUUUUUCAAGGUGCUGCAUGGUUGUCGUCAGCUCGUGCCGUGAGGUGUUAGGUUAAGUCCUGCAACGAGCGCAACCCCUGUCACUAGUUGCUAACAUUCAGUUGAGGACUCUAGUGAGACUGCCUACGCAAGUAGAGAGGAAGGUGGGGACGACGUCAAAUCAUCACGGCCCUUACGUCUUGGGCCACACACGUAAUACAAUGGCCGGUACAGAGGGCAGCUACACAGCGAUGUGAUGCAAAUCUCGAAAGCCGGUCUCAGUUCGGAUUG